GUCAAAAGUUUUGGAUGACCAAAAAAGCUGUACUUUCCUACUGAGCUGUAACUUUUAAAGCAUCUUAGUUAAAGUGAAUAUGACAGUACAAGGUAUAAGAUAAAACAUUUAAAGGAUAACAACCAAAUCACAGAUAAAUUAUUCCAAUUACGUUAUUUCCGUUUCCGGUAAUAUUUUAAAAUCGCUGUUUAGGUUGCGGUGUGCUGUUGUUGCUGUAGGCAAUUAGGCAUGGCAGCUGCUGCUGCAGUAUUUGAAAGAUAGGGUGUACUGGCCGGCUUCGGCUUCGGCUUCGGCUUCAUUUAUGUUGGAUGGAAGGCGGUUUGAAGAAUUGAUGACAGAAAGUGUAAUCGAAUGGUAUGACUUGUUCAGAGAAUGGUGAACGGCAAGUUUCUGGAAAAGCUAUAAAUACACCUCGAAUUGAUUUGGGAGUGGUGUCUCGUCCAGUCGUAAAGUAGGUGGCCUUUACAUUUUAAAAAAAGGAACGAAGAAUACAAUAUUUUGCUCGAUCUGAAGCAAAUGCAGCUAGAUCUUGAAGAGAUUGGACACUUUUGGUGCAUUUUAAAGCUAGACAGCAAUGUGAGAUAGCUCUUCGGUUAAAACCUACUGCAUGACAGGCUACCGGAGAAAUUUUUGUAAUGCGGAGUAAUGACGAGAGUGCCUCUAGAUGUUAUCCAUUAACCAAGUUUAAAAUAAUAUAGUGAGUCAAAUACAGUAUUUGUGAACGGUAAACGUUUAAAAGGAUUUUGUGAUGAAGUGAGAGCACGUACCAUCCACCCAUCCAUCCCAAUCGCGGGGCCGCAGGUGCCUAUUGCACACACGUUUAGACAGGCGUAAAGGAGUUAUCGGAUAAGCUUAAUUUGAAUUACAUGAGUUCUACUUAGAUAGAUACUUUAUUAAUCCCAAUGGGAAAUUCACAAUACUUGUGUGUGCCAUUCCCACUGUGAUGUCUGGUCAUGUAGCAGUAGUGUGUAAGGUGUAAAGAGGCGUAGCUCAUGUGCUAGAGUUCAUAAAUACAAACGCGGUGAAGAAGGCUUUAGGACAAAAUGUGCGUUUGUAGCGGGAUGUAGAGGAUGCCCUGUAGAAAAGAAAGCUGUAAAUGCACAACAUGUUCGGGUACAAAUUUGGGCAUUUUGAUGUCAGGCUGUUCAGAAAGUGCAAAAAACUGUAGCGAUGGGGCAGAUUAACAUUGUUAAUAUCGAAAAGGUGGAAUAAAGAAUUGUACAUAUCCAGAACUGGUGCAGUAUAUAAAAAUGUAGGGCUUAUGAGUUGUAAAGAACCCAUCUUGUUGAUAGAUGGACGCCCUUGUAAUGGGCACAAUAUAUCCUACAUAGUGUUCUAUGAUAUAAUUGUCAUUACAAUGUAUUUAAGAGCUUGCUACAUUUUUGAAAGUUAUUUAAAAGAAAUUGUUUCAAUGUGAAGUACAUUUCCUGCAUCUUUGCUCCACAGUCAAGCUCAGUAGGUAUAGGAUGUGCACCUUAUGCCAACUAACAUUAAAUACCAGAUAAAGAAGAUGCUCUGCUUUUCAGUUAGAUAAGGGCAGCUGAUGGGCUCUUGUAAGGAGAUAUUUUAUUGAAUGCUACAUCAACUUGUUAUUCACCUGCCAUUGUCUUACUGAAACAAAUUCUUGAGGCUAUGGAUUUGAUUUACUUUGUCUACACCAGUGUCCGCAUACAGAGUGAAUGAGUACAGUUACAUUUUUGGAGAAACACAAUUGAAUGCAUGUUUUACAUACUCUUAAAGAUAUUUUGAUUUAAAGAUUUAUACUUAAUGUUUGUAAACUGUAAAAUGUUGAUAACCUGUGCAUAAAUUACUUUUCAAAACACUUUAAAAUUUACUUUUCUUUAAUUUUGCCAUCCAAAAAAGCAGUUUUUAUUUAGAACUUGUGAAAUGUAGAGUUUCAAAAUAUUAAAUGGGAAACAUAUUAUCCUAAUUGCUGUGUGUGCCUCUUGAAACAUUAAUUUGCAUUCAUUUGUGGAAUUUCUUUCCUUUUUAGUUUUUUGAGAUGAUUAGUUAUGUUGUGACAAAGUAAUGUUUAUAAAGUCCUGUAUAGUAGAGUUGCAUUAUUUUUGGCUGUAGCAAUCCUUGAUAUAGAAAGAAAAGCUUGCUUAGUAAAGAGAAAUGGCAAUCUAUCA